rnacentral:rRNA from 1 species
UCAGUUCGGAUCGGAGUCUGCAACCCGACUCCGUGAAGCUGGAUUCGCUAGUAAUCGCGCAUCAGCCAUGGCGCGGUGAAUACGUUCCCGGGCCUUGUACACACCGCCCGUCAAGCCAUGGGAGCCGGGAGCGCUUGAAGUGCGUCGCCGCGAGGCGCGCCCUAGAGCGAGACCGGUGACUGGGGCUAAGUCGUAACAAGGUAGC